CCUACGGGAGGCUGCAGUGGGGAAUUUUGGACAAUGGGCGCAAGCCUGAUCCAGCUAUUCCGCGUGUGGGAAGACGGCCUUCGGGCUGUAAACCACUUUUGUAGAGAACGAAAAGUCUGUUGAUAAUACCGAUAGAUGAUGACGGUACUCUAAGAAUAAGCACCGGCUAACUACGUGCAAGCAGCCGCGGUAAUACGUAGGGUGCGAGCGUUAAUCGGAAUUACUGGGCGUAAAGGGUGUGCAGGCGGUUUUGCAAGAUGGAUGUGAAAGCCCCGGGCUUAACCUGGGAAAGGCAUACAUGACUGGAAGACUAGAGUGCGGCAGAGGGGGGUGGAAUUCCAGGUGUAGCAGUGAAAUGCGUAGAUAUUUGGAAGAACACCGAUGGCGAAGGCAGCCCCCUGGAACGAAACUGACGCUCAUACACGAAAGCGUGGGGAGCAAACAGGAUUAGAUACCCGAGUAGUC
rnacentral:rRNA from 1 species